rnacentral:lncRNA from 1 species
AUCUAUUACUUCAAACUCAACUUCUAACCAAAAAACUCAAUUCAUGAGUAUUUUAGAAGAACAAAUAGGAGAAAUUCUCAACAAACAAAGGUCUGUGAAUGGGUUUGUAAAUUAUCUUCUUAAAAUUAAGAAUAGGGAUGUGAACUUCUUUCUGAAGAUUGGUAAUAAAAUAUUAAAAUUUAUUAUAAGACAUCUUUCUGAUAUUGGUAAUCCAAAAUCAUUAAAAUUUAUCAAUCCUAUAUUCGACAC